AGUAUUAGAUUGGUGCAAAAGUAAUUGUAGUUUCUGCAUUGAAAAUAAUAGCAAAAACCGCAAGUACUUUUGCACCAACCUAAUAAAUCAAAAU
rnacentral:miRNA from 1 species